AAACUUUCAACAACGGAUCUCUUGGUUCCCACAUCGAUGAAGAACGCAGCGAAAUGCGAUAAGUAAUGUGAAUUGCAGAAUUCCGUGAAUCAUCGAAUCUUUGAACGCACAUUGCGCCCCCUGGUAUUCCGGGGGGCAUGCCUGUCCGAGCGUCAUUGCAACCCUCAAGCGCGGCUU
rnacentral:rRNA from 1 species